GAUGAACGCUAGCGGCAGGCUUAACACAUGCAAGUCGAGGGGUAUAGGGAGCUUGCUUCCUAGAGACCGGCGCACGGGUGCGUAACGCGUAUGCAAUCUACCUUUUGCAGAGGGAUAGCCCAGAGAAAUUUGGAUUAAUACCUCAUAGUAUAGUACUUUGGCAUCAAGGAACUAUUAAAGUCACAACGGCAAAAGAUGAGCAUGCGUCCCAUUAGCUAGUUGGUAAGGUAACGGCUUACCAAGGCUACGAUGGGUAGGGGUCCUGAGAGGGAGAUCCCCCACACUGGUACUGAGACACGGACCAGACUCCUACGGGAGGCAGCAGUGAGGAAUAUUGGACAAUGGGCGCAAGCCUGAUCCAGCCAUGCCGCGUGCAGGAUGACGGUCCUAUGGAUUGUAAACUGCUUUUGUACAGGAAGAAACACUGGUUCGUGAACCGGCUUGACGGUACUGUAAGAAUAAGGAUCGGCUAACUCCGUGCCAGCACG
rnacentral:rRNA from 1 species